AUGGAGCUGUCCGGGAGCCCCGGCACGUGGAGCGGCCUCUCGCUGCGGCUCGGCCAGUUCCUCUUCGCCGCCGCGUCCGUCUGCGUCAUGUCCUCCGCGAUCGGCUUCGCCAACUACACCGCCUUCUGCUACUUGAUUGCAUCAAUGGGACUACAAGCACUCUGGAGCUUGGGACUUGCGUGUCUUGAUGGCUAUGCUUUGAGAAUGAAAAAGGAACUCAACAGUGCUGUUCUCGUGAGCUUAUUUGUUGUUGGAGAUUGGGUAACGUCGAUCCUGUCGUUCGCCGCUUCAUGCUCAGCAGGAAGCGUCGUUGUUCUCUUCGACAAGGAUGCGUACUUCUGCAGCAGGGACCCGCAUCUCCCCUGUGGGACAUUUGAGCUUGCGACCGCGUUUGCAUUCCUUUCCUGGGCGCUUAGUGCCACAUCUGCCCUUGUGAUGUUUUGGCUCCUCGCUUCAUCUUGA
rnacentral:rRNA from 1 species